UACGUAGGGGGCAAGCGUUGUCCGGAAUCAUUGGGCGUAAAGCGCGCGUAGGCGGCCCGGUACGUCCGCUCUGAAAGUCCAGGGCUCAACCCUGGAAAGCGGGUGGAUACUGCCGGGCUAGAAUCCGGAAGAGGCGAGUGGAAUUCCUGGUGUAGCGGUGGAAUGCGCAGAUAUCAGGAGGAACACCGAUUGCGAAGGCAGCUCGCUGGGACGUAACUGACGCUGAGACGCGAAAGCGUGGGGAGCAAACAGG
rnacentral:rRNA from 1 species